rnacentral:rRNA from 1 species
UACGUAGGGUGCAAGCGUUGUCCGGAAUUAUUGGGCGUAAAGAGCUCGUAGGCGGUUUGUCGCGUCUGCUGUGAAAACCCGAGGCUCAACCUCGGGCCUGCAGUGGGUACGGGCAGACUAGAGUGCGGUAGGGGAGAUUGGAAUUCCUGGUGUAGCGGUGGAAUGCGCAGAUACUCGAGGAGACACCAAUGGCGAAGGCAGAUCUCUGGGCCGUAACUGACGCUGAGGAGCGAAAGCAUGGGGAGCGAACAGG